rnacentral:rRNA from 1 species
UCGGAUUGUAGGCUGAAACUCGCCUACAUGAAGCUGGAGUUGCUAGUAAUCGCGAAUCAGCAUGUCGCGGUGAAUACGUUCCCGGGCCUUGUACACACCGCCCGUCACACCAUGAGAGUUGGCAAUACCCAACGUACGUGAUCUAACCCGCAAGGGAGGAAGCGUCCUAAGGUAGGGUCAGCGAUUGGGGUGAAGUCGUAACAAGGUACC